GACGUAUUGUAUUUUCGAAUUCAGAAUCAAGCCAAAUUUUCAAGAUGCGUACUAUCAUCGUUUUGACACUGUGUUUUGUCGUUAUCUUGGCUCUAACUGUUUCGGGAGUUCAAAGUGGAAAUGGAACAGCAACUAAUGGGACCGGAACAGCAAA